rnacentral:rRNA from 1 species
GGGGAUAACUACUGGAAACGGUAGCUAAUUCCGCAUAACGUCGCAAGACCAAAGAGGGGGACCUUCGGGCCUCUUGCCAUCGGAUGUGCCCAGAUGGGAUUAGCUUGUUGGUGGGGUAACGGCUCACCAAGGCGACGAUCCCUAGCUGGUCUGAGAGGAUGACCAGCCACACUGGGACUGAGACACGGUCCAGACUCCUACGGGAGGCAGCAGUGGGGAAUAUUGCACAAUGGGCGCAAGCCUGAUGCAGCCAUGCCGCGUGUAUGAAGAAGGCCUUCGGGUUGUAAAGUACUUUCAGCGGGGAGGAAGGGAGUAAAGUUAAUACCUUUGCUCAUUGACGUUACCCGCAGAAGAAGCACCGGCUAACUCCGUGCCAGCAGCCGCGGUAAUACGGAGGGUGCAAGCGUUAAUCGGAAUUACUGGGCGUAAAGCGCACGCAGGCGGUUUGUUAAGUCAGAUGUGAAAUCCCCGGGCUCAACCUGGGAACUGCAUCUGAUACUGGUAAGCUUGAGUCUCGUAGAGGGGGGUAGAAUUCCAGGUGUAGCGGUGAAAUGCGUAGAGAUCUGGAGGAAUACCGGUGGCGAAGGCGGCCCCCUGGACGAAGACUGACGCUCAGGUGCGAAAGCGUGGGGAGCAAACAGGAUUAGAUACCCU